UACAGAGGGUGCAAACGUUGCUCGGAAUUAUUGGGCGUAAAGCGCACGUAGGCGGCAUCGUAAGUUCGAUGUGAAAGCCCCAAGCUCAACUUGGGAAGUGCAUUGAAUACUGCGGAGCUUGAAUCUGGAAGAGGGUCGCGGAAUUCCCGGUGUAGAGGUGAAAUUCGUAGAUAUCGGGAGGAACACCAGUGGCGAAGGCGGCGACCUGGGCCAAGAUUGACGCUGAGGUGCGAAAGCGUGGGGAGCAAACAGG
rnacentral:rRNA from 2 species